UCCCCGUUCACCGGGGCAGUCCCCUCAGAGUGCCCGGCAUGACCCGGUGGCAACAAAGGGCAAGGGUUGCGCUCGUUGCGGGACUUAACCCAACAUCUCACGACACGAGCUGACGACAGCCAUGCAGCACCUGUGUCCUGGCUCCCUUUCGGGCACUCCUCCAUCUCUGGAGGAUUCCAGGCAUGUCAAGGGUAGGUAAGGUUUUUCGCGUUGCAUCGAAUUAAACCACAUCAUCCACCGCUUGUGCGGGUCCCCGUCAAUUCCUUUGAGUUUUAGCCUUGCGGCCGUAGUCCCCAGGCGGAAUGCUUAUCGCGUUAGCUGCGGCACAGGAGGAGGAAGGUGGGGAUGACGUACGGAAUGUCGAUA
rnacentral:misc_RNA from 1 species